rnacentral:rRNA from 1 species
GACGAACGCUGGCGGCGUGCUUAACACAUGCAAGUCGAACGGAAAGGCCCUGCUCUUGUGGGGUGCUCGAUUGGCGAACGGGUGAGUAACACGUGAGUAACCUGCCCUUGACUUUGGGAUAACUUCAGGAAACUGGGGCUAAUACCGGAUAGGAGCUCCUGCUGCAUGGUGGGGGUUGGAAAGUUUCGGCGGUUGGGGAUGGACUCGCGGCUUAUCAGCUUGUUGGUGGGGUAGUGGCUUACCAAGGCUUUGACGGGUAGCCGGCCUGAGAGGGUGACCGGCCACAUUGGGACUGAGAUACGGCCCAGACGCCUACGGGAGGCAGCAGUGGGGAAUAUUGCAGAAUGGGCGGAAGCCUGAUGCAGCAACGCCGCGUGCGGGAUGACGGCCUUCGGGUUGUAAACCGCUUUCGCCUGUGACGAGGCGUGAGUGACGGUAAUGGGUAAAGAAGCACCGGCUAACUACGUG